UACGGGGGGGGCAAGCGUUGUUCGGAAUUCCUGGGCGUAAAGGGCUCGUAGGUGGCCAACUAAGUCAGACGUGAAAUCCCUCGGCUUAACCGGGGAACUGCGUCUGAUACUGGAUGGCUUGAGUUCGGGAGAGGGAUGCGGAAUUCCAGGUGUAGCGGUGAAAUGCGUAGAUAUCUGGAGGAACACCGGUGGCGAAGGCGGCAUCCUGGACCGACACUGACACUGAGGAGCGAAAGCCAGGGGAGCAAACGGG
rnacentral:rRNA from 1 species